rnacentral:rRNA from 1 species
GAAAGUACUUCGGUACGAGUAGAGUGGCGCACGGGUGAGUAACGCGUGGGAACCUGCCUUUUUCUGCGGGAUAACGGUUGGAAACGACCGCUAAUACCGCAUACGCCCUACGGGGGAAAGGUCCGCCGGAAAAAGAGGGGCCCGCGUCUGAUUAGCUUGUUGGUAGGGUAAUGGCCUACCAAGGCGACGAUCAGUAGCUGGUCUGAGAGGAUGAUC